ACCAGCAGUUCCUGUCCUGCCAUGACCCCAUCAACAUCCAGUUCACCUCGGAGAGCGCCUGAAACUGCAUGAGAAGACACCAGAGCAGUUGCGGAUGAUCCUGCCCAGCCCCCUGUACCAUUGCCUGGGUUCCGUGGGAGGCACAAUGAUGUGUCUGAUGUACGGUGCCACCCUCAUCCUGGCCUCUCCCGUUUUCAAUGGCAAGAAGGCACUGGAGGCCAUCAGCAGAGAGAGAGGCUCCUUCCUGUAUGGUACCCCCACGAUGUUCGUGGACAUUCUGAACCAGCCAGACUUCUCCAGUUAUGACAUCUCGACCAUGUGUGGAGGUGUCAUUGCUGGGUCCCCUGCACCUCCAGAGUUGAUCCGAGCCAUCAUCAACAAGAUAAAUAUGAAGGACCUGGUGGUUGCUUAUGGAACCACAGAGAACAGUCCCGUGACAUUUGCCCACUUCCCUGAGGACACUGUGGAGCAGAAGGCAGAAAGCGUGGGCAGAAUUAUGCCUCACACGGAGGUGAGCCCCCGACCAAGACUCGGAAGUCCCACCUCUCGUCACCCAACUGGGGU
rnacentral:sRNA from 1 species